CUAAGAACUAUGUUCAUAAAAGAGCAGUGCCAUAUUUAUAUAGUAUUUUUGCAACUGAUUUGCUUUUAAUUAAAAAAAGAUAGCACUAAUUUUAUUUUGACAAAUAAUGUAAUUGCAAUACUGACCGGUGCUAGCACAUUAAUGCUGGCUGUUCUCAUCAAAAUCAUUAGCAUGGGAGAGUUUUCUCCCUUAUAUCAGAAAUUUCCCAUUCUUCAGAUAUUGUUAGAGUUAUCCCCCAUUGAUUGUGUAUAUGUUGUUGUAAUUAAAGAUGUAUUUAUUAUUGUUAAAUUGAUUGUGCAAUAGAGAUUCAUUCACUUUUUUAAUAGUGAUAGUUGUGUACAUUUUCUAAUUAAUGUUUAAUUAGUAAAUUGGUACCAUGAUAUGAAGGUUAGGAAUUGGUACCAUGAUAUGAAGGUUAGUAAUUCAAACUAAGGGGGAUUAAAGUUUAAUUAGUAAAUUGGUACCAUGAUGUGAAGGUUAGGAAUUCAAACUGAGGGGGAUGUACCAUGCUAUGAAGGUUAGGAGUUCAAACUAAGGGGGAUUUUUCAAAACAAAGUUGAGGUCCCAAUUGCUGCUAAAGUUGCAACUCAAACUGAAUAUUUGAAGUUUUAGCUAGAUACUAAAAUUGACUUUCAGAAUAUUUGCAAUUUUACUUACAUAAAGAAAUGAACUAUUUUUAAGGAGGAUAUUUUCAAUCUAUUAAAAUAUUCAUCAUGUUGUUUAGUAGAGAAAAUUGCUUGAUAAAUAUAAGGUCUUAAUUAGAUCUAUAAUAACAAGCAAAAGGGUUGUUAGUAUAUGAGAAAGUCUUAGGCAUAUCCGUGGUAACAUACCAAACAAAACGGUUGCUUGUCAAAGCAGUUUCCAUGGUAAUAUUUUGAGCAAGAGAUUUGCUUGACUAUGAAAAUUAAAUCAGGAGAGAUAACUCAGUCAUAAGUAGGUUGUGAAACAAAAUCUUCAAAUUCAUUUCUGUCCAAGCAAAAAACAUUUUUUAAUUUCGAUAAUGAAAAGAACAAGGAGAGAGAAAAAACUUUCACCAUAUUACAAAAGCUGUUUAUACAUUUAUUUAAUAUAUUUGAUAUUUGUUGAGUUCUGUUUUCUUACAUCAUGCAAAUGCUACCAGGGGCAUACCUAGUGUAAAUUUUGAACAGUUUCCUUGGUUUUAAGACUGAAAUUAGUAAUUUUUCUCUUCAUAAUAGAUAAAGGGGAUUUGACCAUAGGUAAACUACUGUCUGCUUAAUUAACAGAAAGUUUAUAUUUCUACACACACAUUUCUAAAUAUGUAAUAUUUCCAUUAAAAGUUUUGCUUGGACAGAAAUGACGUUUUGUUAUAGUAGUUAAGAAUAAUCUAUAUUUUUAUAUAAAGUUCCAUUGCCAUCAUAUUAUUUUGACAUUGUUUUUAAAUAGCUUAUAUUAUAGAAUUUUGGUGCUGUUAUGUAAUCACGGUUUUGUAAAUACAUUUUAUAUUUGUGCUAGUUUUUAUCUCAAAAUACACUAAAAUUACAUAACAUUCAUAUGUCUAAAUCACCUUGGUACACAAACAUUACAUACCAUUCUUGUGUUUAAAUCAAUUUGGUACACAAUUCAUGAGUGUAAAUCACUUGUGUACACAAACAUUACAUAAUAUCUCUGUUUGAAAUCAAUUUGAUACACAAUUCAU
rnacentral:lncRNA from 1 species